rnacentral:rRNA from 1 species
UACGUAGGGCGCAAGCGUUGUCCGGAAUUACUGGGCGUAAAGGGCGCGUAGGCGGCCUUCUAAGUCGAACGUGAAAUCCCCGGGCUCAACCCGGGAACUGCGUCCGAGACUGAAAGGCUUGAAUCCGGGAGAGGGAUGUGGAAUUCCAGGUGUAGCGGUGAAAUGCGUAGAUAUCUGGAGGAACAUCGGUGGCGAAGGCGGCAUCCUGGACCGGUAUUGACGCUGAGGCGCGAAAGCCAGGGGAGCAAACGGG